rnacentral:rRNA from 1 species
CCUUUGAUGACGACUGGCGCACGGGUGAGUAACGCGUAUCCAACCUUCUCAUAACUACGGGAUAACCCGUUGAAAGACGGCCUAAUACCGUAUGAUAUCGUUUGCUGACAUCAAAUAACGAUUAAAGGUUUAGCGGUUAUGGAUGGGGAUGCGUCUGAUUAGCUUGUUGGCGGGGUAACGGCCCACCAAGGCAACGAUCAGUAGGGGUUCUGAGAGGAAGGUCCCCCACAUUGGAACUGAGACACGGUCCAAACUCCUACGGGAGGCAGCAGCC